CGAGUGGCGAACGGGUGAGUAACGCGUGAGGAACCUGCCUCAAAGAGGGGGACAACAGUUGGAAACGACUGCUAAUACCGCAUAAGCCCACGGGUCGGCAUCGACCAGAGGGAAAAGGAGCAAUCCGCUUUGAGGUGGCCUCGCGUCCGAUUAGCUAGUUGGUGAGGUAAUGGCCCACCAAGGCAACGAUCGGUAGCCGGACUGAGAGGUUGAACGGCCACGUUGGGACUGAGACACGGCCCAG
rnacentral:rRNA from 1 species